rnacentral:lncRNA from 1 species
GAGCAGAAUCUCACAUCAUAACCCCAAAUGACCUGUUACUCACCAUGUGGCCCAGCUGUCUUCAAACUCACCAGCCUCCUGCCUUAGCCUUCUAAAUGCUUGGAUUACAGGCAUGACCCACCAUAACUGGCUUUGUUUUAGUUUCAGAGAAGAUGAAACUGAUGUGCGUCAAAAAGGUAAAUGUCACAUGACCCAUCUUAUGUUGAAUAAAACUAUUCUAUGAUUCAAUCUGUAUAAGCUUCAAAGAUAAAUUAACUAGCAGCACAUUUUUAUUAUUGUUUGUAUAGUAUGUUUGAUCAAAUUCCUUCCCCUCCCCAAACUCCCUCUAGAUCCUCCCCAUCUCUCUAUCCACCCAACUCUUUGUUCUUUAUCUCUCCCAAAAUAAAGAACAAAACAAGAAAAAACAACAACAAAAAAUGAAAGCAUGUGCGUGCAAGCACACCCCCCCAUACACACACAAACACACACACAAACAUACACACACACAUACACACACACACCACAUAAAGUCUAUUUUGUGUUGGCCAACCAUUUCUAUGCAUGAAGCCUGAUGCAUGAAGCCACAAAAAUUGGCUGAUAUACUCUCUCUCCCUGCACUGCUAUGAAAUAGCUCCUCUUUCCUGUAAUCUUCUCAUGAGAGUUGGGCAUCUCCUGUCUCUGACUCAGUCUGUCAAAUCUUUCUCUGACUCAUUACUUUGUCUGCCUUCGACAAUUCUGUGGAGAUAAACUUUCAGUAGACGUGGAGCAGAUUAUCACAGUUGAAUUGUGCUGAGAGAAGAGCUGAAAUGACUAAGCUCACAGGAAAACUACCAAAGGGCGUUACUGAAUGUCCAGUUUACAGUCUCCAAAGGGGAGCUGCCUCUGCUGGUGGUGAUGCAUGGAACAUGGCUUUAUUGUGUGAACCUUGGAAAUGGACACCAGAGAGUCCUGGACUUGUAGUCGGUGUAGCAGAAGUUGAUCUGGGGCCGAGGUCUUAAGAUUUCUGAGGCUCAAGACAUGAGUAAUAGAUUGCUAGUCUUUCCAUGGAUGAGAACCGGCAAAAUCUCUAAGUGAGAAAUCACAUCAUCUAUAGUUCAAAGCAGAGUUCCUAUUCCAAUGAGAAAGAAUACUCAUCAGAAGGUCAAGGCAUGCAACCAACCAAUCCAUACGAUGUGUUCCAAUAUGCUCAACUCUGCUCUCAAUGUUUUGCAGCAUGUCAGAAUGUAAACUUAACAGCAACCUCUGAGGUGUUAAAUACAGACAAGUCAAAGUAGAUUAAAUCUAUUUCAACAUAAAGAUUUGAACAUGGCACUCUGCCCCGGAAAUGCAUGUGACCCCCUCAAUAUGCUGCCUUUGCUGCACAACUGUCUUUUUGUACUCUUGUAAUGUUGAUGGCUUGUGCAUCAUCAAAACCAAACAAACGUCUGUUGGACUGACAGACGAUUAAGAGUCAAUGUCUGAGUGGAGG